GCCCUCUUCUCUCCUCUACCAUAGAUAAAUUACUGCUAUCUCAAGAGCUGCAGGAAUGCCUGCAUGGAAGGUGUUCCCUUCCUUUCAGACUCGCUGGGCACACAGGGCUGGUUUACACCUCGCUGGUACAUGCUGGUUGUUCAGAGAGCUGGCCAGUCACUGCCUCCUCGGCACAAGCAGAGGGAAGCCAGGCUCUGGGGCACAGAAGAAGUAAAAGAGAAGGGAUUUGCAUGGUAGAUGAAUGCAGCUGACAUGCCUGUGCUGGCUGGCAUUGCAGAGGUGUUGAGUGGGUCCCAAGCUGCAGGAAGACAAUCUACUUAGCCUCCUAACUAUGCUGCUUUUGUUUGGGCUUCUUCAAACACUUCUCAGCACCUGUGCCUCAGAACAGCUCUUGGACUCAAGUAACUCGAGGAAGAAAAUGUAACGUGCCAAGUUUGAGGUCACAAUGCAAAUUAGUGGCAUGGCUUGUGAUACCCCCAGAAUAUAAUCUUGCCAUCCAUGCUUGGGCACUGCUGAGUACCACUGAUUUUCUGGUGACAUACUUUAAAGGAGAAAAAAACAUUCUUAUAUCCCAUUCAGAUUCUUAUAUCCCAUUCAGCAUCAGCCUUUUCUCCUUGGAUACAACCACUUUUAGUGGGAGGGCUUUCAGAAGUAAUGGGGAGCUGGCAGUGGUGUGAAUGCAUACAGGAGAAAAAGCAGGGUGUGGAAACGUGUUGGUAACAGGGACAGUAAUAUGGAUGUCAGCAAGGUGCCCAGGAGGGCACCUGUGUGCUCAGACCUCUCGCUGGGACUCCAGCAGCCUUUGGUACAAUUGGAGAGACAAAGUGCAGAGUGAUCGUAAUCUACAACCCUUGUUGACGUGGCAAAAAGAGGACUUGUCCAACAUCGAACUGUUUUCAAAUGGCACAGCUCUUAGGCCUGGAUAAAGUGACUGCACAAGGAGUGAGCCUGCCUCUCCAUCCUUCUCAUGUACAACAGAGCUGGCUGCAAGCAAAACACAGUGGGACCUUUGCAAGGCACUGGUGCAGUGCUUCUGAGUUGCU
rnacentral:lncRNA from 14 species